ACGAACGCUGGCGGCGUGGAUAAGACAUGCAAGUCGAACGGGAUUAUUUUUGUAGCAAUACAGAAAUAAUUCAGUGGCGAACGGGUGCGUAACACGUGGGCAAUCUGCCGAAAAGUGGGGGAUAGCUCGCCGAAAGGCGAAUUAAUACCGCAUGUGGUGAGGGACGACAUCUUCCUGAAUCCAAAGCCGGGGCAACCUGGCGCUUUUUGAGGAGCCCGCGGCCUAUCAGCAGUUGGUGAGGUAACGGCCCACCAAGGCUAUGACGGGUAGCUGGUCUGAGAGGACGACCAGUCACACUGGAACUGAGACACGGUCCAGACACCUAC
rnacentral:rRNA from 1 species